rnacentral:rRNA from 1 species
UACGGAGGGGGCUAGCGUUGUUCGGAAUUACUGGGCGUAAAGCGCGCGUAGGCGGCUUUGUAAGUUAGAGGUGAAAGCCCGGAGCUCAACUCCGGAACUGCCUUUAAGACUGCAUCGCUAGAAUUGUGGAGAGGUGAGUGGAAUUCCGAGUGUAGAGGUGAAAUUCGUAGAUAUUCGGAAGAACACCAGUGGCGAAGGCGACUACCUGGCCUGUUCUUGACGCUGAGGCGCGAAAGCUAGGGGAGCAAACGGG